CUCGUUAUCAGCGGAGUUUGCCGAGACUUGCGCGAGGCUGGGAGCUGGGGUCGUCCUCCGCCUGAUGCCGUCACCUCGGUGACCGACUUCUCCCACUUUAUGACCUGCAGGCGGAAGGGGAUCUGGAGGCUGGGAUGAACGGAGCAUCGAGGACGUGACAGCGGCUCCUGUCUAGCGGCCAUGAGGAAUGCGCCGGAAGCGCCAUCUAGGGCCGUGUUGCCGCCCCUACCCCUUGGUGCCAUGGGACGCCGGGUACACUUCUGACAGGAGGGAGGAAACCACCGUAAACAGGUCCCACAGCCAGACAGCCGCCAUCUUGAGACAACGAAAUCUCACCGCCAUGAUGACCUGGUCCACCCUCUUGAUGGAUGUGGAAAUGAAGGACAAGGAGAGUUGCUUCUGUCGUCAAUAUUCGUCUGUCCGUCUGUCUGUCUGUGUGUGUGUGUAAAUCUGAAUCUUUCCAUUGUAUUUCAUUUUCAAGCGCAGAGAUAUUUCUUUCAAAGAUUUUCGUGGCUGGCUGUU